GCCGGGAGUCAGCGUACAAGUGAAAACCGGGGUUUGGACGCGACCGGAUUGAGAUAUAAAACCGAUUCAGUUACUGAUUUGUAUUUAGUUUUAAUAAUCUGAUAACCCACCAAGAUGCCUCCCAGAAAACGCAACUCUGGAGCAGCACAGUACAAGGAAAUUAAGCCCAGCAUAAAAAAGCCUCCCCCAGGGAGUCCCCGGACAAGGUGCAAAAUCCUGAUUUAUCGAUAGAAAAGCACAAAGCGAAGGAUGCCGACUUUGACUCUGUGUCAGAGUCUUCAUGUGACAGAUGCAGUGUGUGAUCGUGCCUGGACAAUAUGGAAGGCAGUUCAGCCCUCAGUGGACAAAGUUCCUGACACUAAAAAAAGGCUUUGGGGUGCUUGUCUGUUUGUAGCUGUGACAGACUUGGAAGUUACAAGUUUUACCUUUACUCAAGUCCAGA